CGAGAGGAGCUCAGACAGAACCGUGGUGAUCGUCAUCGCAUGUAGACGUGUUGAUGUCUGCCGUGCUCGUAGUAUCGUGGAUCCAGUGGAGCACAUUUCGGCAGGAAGAAGUGAUCUGUUAAAAUACAGAAUACGGCCUUGCAAGGACGAACUGAUGCAAGUCGGGUUGCAUGCUAAUGAUAAUCAGGGCGUUUAGAUUGAAUCGCACACCGCAGACGUUGCCAAUUCAGCGAGCGAAUGUCAAAGGUAUCGCGUUCUAACAUCGGCUAAAUACCGCUAUCUGGCAGGGUAGAGGAGAAUCUAUUAAUUGCCGUAGGUGAGUCUCUCGCACAAAAUUUAGCGUCCCAGCAAUCCAUUCGACCUUCACCUUGCAGCGCAUACCUACACACAAGACCGAAUAGCACCACUGGUUCGACGCGAGGAGCGACUGUGACAAUAACCAAAGGCCUUCUAUGAUAAUAGAAGGCCUUUUUGUUUCACCCAAUUUCGUCUCAUAUCUACAGACGCUGACCGCAGCCGACCGAGAACGUGAAACCUACUGCGGCCGCUAUACGAGUCACGUGAGAAAGAUCUCCACGUUCCGUGGCAAUAGCAGGAGUGAGGCACAAGUCCAUCUUUCCGUACCCGCAAGCGACGCAUUGAUCCAGCCGAGAAUAGUGAGCGGUGCACAACGACGCCUGACGCGCAACAGGUCUCGUGUGUGCGUAAGUCGAGGGGCAAGCGCAGCGACACCAUCAGAGCCAUACAAUGGGCCCGUUGUGAGUACGCUUGAAAGUGCUAUAUUUAAGAACUAUUAAAAGAAUAGACU